CAAAAGGAAAUGCUGGAUGCGGAGAGGAUGAUGAAGCACCUAAUUGUGGAUAGGAAAACCAAAGACUUGAGGAGACCAAGGAUCCCCUGAUGGGAAAAACAUGUUUUAGAUUCUUUUAUCAUUGCUAAAGAAAAUAGAAAGAGUUCUCCCUUUCCAGGCUUGGGAAGUGACUUGUCGACCCUGUCCUGAGAGCCUGCUCGAGAGGGUUGGCAAACUUUCCUGGUCCUGCUGUGAAUCCCUCAGGCUUGUGAGGGACGACAGAUGGUUGAGCUAAACUCGGAGCCACCCUUCUACAUAAUGAUGAAAAAUGACCAGCCUCCUGGGUUCUCUAGGUUCUUUGCUGCUGGUACCUGGACCAGGAGAAGAAGGUGCCUGCUACUGUGCUGUGGGAACAAAAACAGGCACUAUUCUGUGGCACAGGAUCUUGAUGUUUAUCUAUCUGCGAAGGAUUGGAUUUAAGAUGCUUCAUUAUCAGAAAAGGGACUCAGGGUUUGAAGUGCAGGUUCUGUUGGGUAACAAGUUUAGGACCAAGAUCAACUACAUUGCCAAGAGACCACAGGAAUUUCUGUUCUCUCAUUGGUCUUGA
rnacentral:lncRNA from 12 species